GAUGAACGCUGGCGGCGUGCCUAAUACAUGCAAGUCGAGCGAACGGACGAGAAGCUUGCUUCUCUGAUGUUAGCGGCGGACGGGUGUGUAACACGUGGAUAACCUACCUAUAAGACUGGGAUAACUUCGGGAAACCGGAGCUAAUACCGGAUGAUAUUUUGAACCGCAUGGUUCAAAAGUGAAAGACGGUCUUGCUGUCACUUAUAGAUGGAUCCGCGCUGCAUUAGCUAGUUGGUAAGGUAACGGCUUACCAAGGCAACGAUGCAUAGCCGACCUGAGAGGGUGAUCGGCCACACUGGAACUGAGACACGGUCCAGACUCCUACGGGAGGCAGCAGUAGGGAAUCUUCCGCAAUGGGCGAAAGAAUGACGGAGCAACGCCGCGUGAGUGAUGAAGGUCUUCGGAUCGUAAAACUCUGUUAUUAGGGAAGAACAUAUGUGUAAGUAACUGUGCACAUCUUGACGGUACCUAAUCAGAAAGCCACGGCUAACUACGUG
rnacentral:rRNA from 1 species